AGUGAACGCUGGCGGUAGGCCUAACACAUGCAAGUCGAACGGAAGCACAGUAAGCGCUUGCCCCUACGGGUGGCGAGUGGCGGACGAGUGACGCAUACAUCGGCAUCUAAUAUUUCGGGGGGGAUAACGGGAGAAAGCUUACGAUACUGCCGCAUACUACCUACGGGAGAAUGCAGGAGAGCAUCGGGGCUUGCGCGUCUGAAUGAGCCGAAGUCGCAUUAGCUAGUUGGCGGGGUAAGGGCACACCAAGGCAACGAUCCGUAGCUGGUCUGAGAGGAUGAUCAGCCACACUGGAACUGAGACACGGUCCAGACUCCUACGGGAGGCAGCAGUGGGGAAUAUUGGACAAUGGGCGCAAGCCUGAUCGAGCCAUGCCGCGUGAGUGAAGAAGGCCUUCGGGUUGUAAAGCCCUUUUGUUGGGAAAGAAAAUCUGCAGGUUAAUCCCCGGCUGUUCUGACGGUACCCAAUGAGUAAGCACCGGCUAACUUCGUG
rnacentral:rRNA from 1 species